rnacentral:rRNA from 1 species
GACGAACGCUGGCGGCGUGCUUAACACAUGCAAGUCGAACGAAGUGGCGUACGGGUGAGUAACGCGUAAUCAACCCGCCCUUCAGAGGGGGACAACAGUUGGAAACGACUGCUAAUACCGCAUACUGAAGGAGGGGAUGGCGUCUGUUUAGCUAGUUGGUGGGGUAACGGCCCACCAAGGCGAUGAUCAUUUGCAGGGCUGGGAAGAUGAACGGCCACAAUGGAACUGGGACACGGCCCAGACUCCUACGGAAGGCAGCGGUGGGGAAUCUUCCGCAAUGGACGAAAGUCUGACGGAGCAACGGCGCGUGAGUGAUGACGGCCUGCGGGUUGUAAAGCUCUGUUAGUCGGGACGCGGUACCGGAAUAGAAAGCCACGGCUAACUACGUGCCAGCAGCCGCGGUAAUUC